GAGUGGAGAAGUUCGCCUCCGCGCGGGCUGCUGGUUUUCACCAUGAUUGUGAGCUGUUCAUUUUCAAGGUGCUGAAUAGCUGAGAAGGAAGAAUAGGAAUAGGGUACCUGGUGCACCACCAGUCUGAAACCACCUUUAACCAAGUUCACAGUUUGGGUUCCCUGGAUGUCUUAGUCCGUUUAUGCUGGUAAAACAGAAUACCACAAACUGGAAUUUAACAGAAACAAGUUCGAAGAAAAACCAUGUAAAAGCCUGCAAUGAUAUUUUCACCUUUUUUGUGGAAAGAAAUAGAUACAGAAUUGGUAGUAUUUACUAUUAUGGCAUUUUGCUUUUGAAGGAGAAGAACCUGUAUGGUCAUGAAAAUCCACCAAAAAAUAAAAAAUACAAAUGACUAUGCGAGAUUUGCCAGUUAAACACAGUUUUUUAAAAUGAAGAGGACAUCUAAUAAAGGGGAAAUAUGUUCAUACAUCUUAAUGACUUACCAUUAAAAGUACCAGUUUAAAAGAAGAAAAUGAACACCACCACAGAUGGCUUAAUUUUACCCCUCGAACAUUGUUCUUUUUGCCAUAUGGAAUCACGCAUGAAAAGCAGCUCAUUCUGCAGUCUAUAAUAGUCCUACCAAAAGGGAAGCCUUAACAGAACAAUAUGUAUUAAUAAGAAACACAAACACAGAAUUGCUUAAUAUUUUGAUUUAUGUUUUUGGCUUCAAAAUUGUUGCCUUGGGAGUGCUUUUGAUAUCUGUGAAUAUCCCUUCAUUCUAAGGGGAUAAGAAAUACUAUGGCUAUGGAUGACACUCUCUCUGUAACCAGGCAAAGAUAGCAUAAUUUUCUAGUGUUGUACUUUGCGAAAGAGCAGCUGUAAAU
rnacentral:lncRNA from 10 species